CUACAGGUUUGGAGGAGCCGACACGGACAUUUUUGCAAAAUCGCAUGUUUGUCGUUGCCAUGGAUCUGUUGUAUUUUCUUCCAGCUGAAGACGUUUUAACUAAAUGCCUGGUGUCCGGUCAGGGUUUCGAAUGAGUAAGCCUGGGUCCAAAGCCUGCGCCGGUACCACGUAGCUGUCCGAUCUCGAGCCCGUUCUUUAAGUCCUCCUUGCCUCGGUCUCCUCAUCUGUAAAAUGGGUAAAUUCAAACGCCGGCCAAACCGAUCAUCCCUUUUUGAUGAUUCCGCCGAUCCAUUAUCUCAUCUGUUCAUCAAAGGCCCCUGCAAGGAAGCCAGGCCGAGGAUGGGCCCAAGGAGAGAUGACUCAGGAAUCUGAAAGUCAAGGCCAGAAGCCUCUCUGUCAAGCGGCCCUCUGGGCUGAGUUUCUCCACUGAUCUCGGCCCAGGAGGCGGGUCAGGCUGUGCAGGCCAGGCCUGAAAUACCCACAGAGAGGCUUCCUUCCCCUCGACGCUGGACAGUGCUCCCCAGCCCCACCAGAUGGACUGCAGAUGUGAGCUCUGGGUUGCAAGAGAGGCCAGGGGACAGGCAAAGCUCAUCUCCUUGCGUGGGAUGUCGGGCCCCAAGCCUGGUCCCGGGAGGCCACAGAAGCGUGAUGCGGGGGUCCCGGGAGUUCAAGUUCACAGAGUCUUGGCAACAGGAAGGUGGUGCUGAAGAUACGGUCACGCUCCUGUGAUGCGGGUAGCUGUCAGAGCACAUCCCGGGCAACGGCUGUCUCGUCUUGCAGCCUCCGCAUCGGCGUGGACAUAAGCCACAACCCUGUGUCAUCCCUGCAGCCCAGCCAGCCCUGGAGCAUCUGCUGGGUCGGCAGAAAGCUGCCUCUUCCGAUGGGUUAGGCCCCCACUGCCCCUCCUUCUUCAGCCUGUUCGAAGAUCCUGGAGCCCUUCCCUCGUGUCCUCUUUGCGAGUUGCCGAUGUUGACUUUAAAAAAAAAAA